rnacentral:rRNA from 1 species
GAUGAACGCUAGCUACAGGCUUAACACAUGCAAGUCGAGGGCCCGGCGCAGGGGGAAUUAACACGUUUCCACCUUCCCCUUUACUCGGGAAUGGCCUUUCGAAAGAAAAAUAAAUACCCAAUAAAAAGGAGGGGGAUGCGUUCCAUUAGGUUGUUGGUGAGGUAACGGCCCACCAAGCCUUCGAUGGAUAGGGGUUCUGAGAGGAAGGUCCCCCACAGUGGAACUGAGACACGGUCCAAACUCCUACGGGAGGCAGCAGUGAGGAAUAUUGGUCAAUGGGCGUUAGCCUGAACCAGCCAAGUAGCGUGAAGGAUGAAGGCUUAUGGGUCGUAAACUUCUUUUAUAUAAGAAUAUGUAUUAUAUGAAUAAGGAUCGGCUAACUCCGUGCCAGCAGCCGCGGUAAUAC